CGCUGAGGCACCGCACCUUGGCACCACCACGUGGAAGAAGACGAAGAAGAAAUAACCAUCUUUAGUUCGUCUUUAGGUGAGGCCGCCGGUAAGUAAGGCUACCGGCCAGUCGAUUGUCCAAAAUUGCCGAUUUGUGAAAUGAGGCUGGCAUCCAAAAUGCCGCUAGUGAACCGGGAAAAGCUGUCCACCGCUAUCAAAUUGAUGUUCCGCUUGACGGCCGUAGUCUUCAUCUGCAUUGUUCUCCUAAUCUUCAGUUUCUUCAGCUUUCUCUGGGAAGACCCGGACAGAGCUACACAAGAUUGCAACGGGGAACCACACCACUACUUGGCCGCCAAAGAUCCGACCACUAUGCCAUGCCGUUGCUCCGGUUACUGAUGGAGUCCCUCCGACAGCGGAAGGCACUUUGCAGCGCACUACACUUCCUCGGCUGCUACUCAAAUAUGCCUAUAUUUUAUGAAAAUUAGACGACUCGUUAAUAAUUAAAGACAUCUCUGCACGGUAA